AUCGUCGCCCCCAUCUAACCCCGAUCCCUCGGGACUCGGUUGGACAGCGGGCGGAAAUUGGCCUCCCGUGCGCUCACAGCCAGCGGUUGGCCUAAAUUCGAGUCCUCGACGACAUAAUCGUCGCGACGAUCGGUGGUAAUGCUGCAAGCAACCUCGUUCGGAGUCGUGCGCGUUCGUCGAUCGAGACCCUUAAACCCUUUUGGCAUCGCA
rnacentral:misc_RNA from 1 species